rnacentral:rRNA from 1 species
AGCAGCCGCGGUAAUUCCAGCUCCAAUAGCGUAUAUUAAAGUUGUUGCAGUUAAAAAGCUCGUAGUUGAAUUUCGGGAUCAAUACGUCGGUCGUGCUUCGGUACGUACUAACGUCAUUGAUUUCUCCCUUCUGACGAAUCGUGAUGUCAUUAAUUUGGUGUUACGGGGAGUUAGGACUGUUACUUUGAAAAAUUAGAGUGUUUAAAGCAAGCAAUCGCUCGAAUACAUUAGCAUGGAAUAAUGAAAUAGGACGUUCGAACCUAUUUUGUUGGUUUCUAGGAUCGACGUAAUGAUUAAUAGGGAUAGUUGGGGGCAUUAGUAUUCAAUUGUCAGAGGUGAAAUUCUUAGAUUUAUUGAAGACUAACUACUGCGAAAGCAUUUGCCAAGGAUGUUUUCAUUAAUCAAGAACGAAAGUUAGGGGAUCGAAGACGAUCAGAUACCGUCGUAGUCUUAACCAUAAACUAUGCCGACUAAGGGAUCGGAUGAUGUUAAUUUAUAAUGACUCAUUCGGCG